ACAGGCAGUGCCUCUCGGGCUGAGAAGCCAUUUCAAUCCAGAGGGAGACAGAAAGAUGGCACGCUCAGCCCGGAAACAAGAGCCCCCAUUAUGCGUCAGGCCUACCCCCGUAGGUCAGCCCUUCCUGCCACAAUCAUCCCUAGAACGGCUUCUUUUCGUCCCCCAAGGCAGAUGGAGCAGCGAUUUCACACACAGCCCUCCAUUUGGCAGCCCCCCCACCCCCCCAUCUCUGGCACCGCUCCCCAGUAAAAUAUUAACUGGUUGUUCAGAGCUGCUUACAAUUCUACCCACUUCAAUUGCGUUAGGAGGUCUUUGCUGGUCUCCUCCCUAAAGCUGCCUUCGCAGUUGGUCUGUACCCAGAGAUAGAAAAGGACCGUAAAAUGUCCCCAGCUUUCUCGCUCUCUUUCCUUCUUCGGCAUUUUAAAUGACAAGGUGCUUAAUUAACAGGAUUUUUUAAAACAGCAACCUGGAACCACAGAAGCUAAAUAAACACCAUUCUUUAGAGGCUGGAGAAAGCGUCCAGAGUUAACGCAGCCAUAUGCCAGGAGGCAUAACUCCGGAGCAAUAAAGUCUCCCCUCUCCUCCUAAAAUUAGGACUUGUGGGCUUUCUUGUCCCACACGGUUCCCACAAAGAAAACGAAGAGCUGAUGGCUUGCUUUCCCUGCCCCCCCCCAACCCCCACAUGGACAACAGAUGCCCACUGCUUGUACAUAAAUUCUUCCUGGCCGGGAAUCUCAUAUCAAACAGGCUCAGGAACGAGCUGGGAAUCGAAACUCACUGUACGGCAGGGCAGGACCCAGGCUUUAUAAAAACGGACAGGAUGUUGCUGUUGUUACUGUUUUAGGCUGCUGAGGCCAAGCUGCAGGGAGGGACAGCUCCAUGGCCACCCAACCUGACAAAGCUCCAGGGCUCAGGACAGCAGGCCUGGGCCUCACCAAAAGGGAGGGGCCUGCUCUUCCUGGAGGUAGAAAGCUGCAUGGGGAGACUAAAUGGGAGGAGGCGAGAGGUGGAGGCCACAGUGAAGCAGUGCGUGCUCACCCUCCUAGCUGUGUGGGCAGCGGCCCUCCACCGCCAUCCCAUAUGGAAUGCUGUUUGUUUCUGCGGGUGCUGCUUUGAGGGGAACAAACAGGACUGUGGGGUUGGUGGCAGAUCUCCCAUGCAGCUAAGUCCACGAACCAAUGAGGAAAUAAAAUAUGCCGCUGGUGUGCGUGGUGGAUUUUAACCUGGGAUUAAAGCUUGUUGCAUAAGCAGCUACAGCAUCCUCCCCGCCUCCCUCCCUCUCUCUGAUCACUUGAUCACUUGAAAUGUUUUCUGGGGCAAAGAGCAGGAAGCUGCUGGCUUAUUCUGGCAGCUCUGCUCUGUUUGAGGAAUGCUGUUGGCAUUCGGGUAGGUCUGAGGUUAUCUGGAAAACAGCAAUUCGGCUGGGGACAGACACAAAAGUAUGGUGGCAGAUGGAAUCCUGGGAGGAACACAGAUUGAAAA
rnacentral:lncRNA from 1 species